rnacentral:rRNA from 1 species
AAAUUGAAGAGUUUGAUCAUGGCUCAGAUUGAACGCUGGCGGCAGGCCUAACACAUGCAAGUCGAACGGUAACAGGAAGCAGCUUGCUGCUUCGCUGACGAGUGGCGGACGGGUGAGUAAUGUCUGGGAAACUGCCUGAUGGAGGGGGAUAACUACUGGAAACGGUAGCUAAUACCGCAUAAUGUCGCAAGACCAAAGAGGGGGACCUUCGGGCCUCUUGCCAUCGGAUGUGCCCAGAUGGGAUUAGCUUGUUGGUGGGGUAACGGCUCACCAAGGCGACGAUCCCUAGCUGGUCUGAGAGGAUGACCAGCCACACUGGAACUGAGACACGGUCCAGACUCCUACGGGAGGCAGCAGUGGGGAAUAUUGCAC